AUUGAACGCUGGCGGCAUGCUUUACACAUGCAAGUCGAACGGUAACAGGCCGCAAGGUGCUGACGAGUGGCGAACGGGUGAGUAAUGCAUCGGAACGUGCCCAGUCGUGGGGGAUAACGCAGCGAAAGCUGCGCUAAUACCGCAUACGAUCUAUGGAUGAAAGCGGGGGACCGUAAGGCCUCGCGCGAUUGGAGCGGCCGAUGUCAGAUUAGGGAGUUGGUGGGGUAAAGGCUCACCAAGCCAACGAUAUGUAGCUGGUCUGAGAGGACGACCAGCCACACUAGGACUGAGACACGGCCCAGACUCCUACGGGAGGCAGCAGUGGGGAAUUUUGGACAAUGGGCGCAAGCCUGAUCCAGCAAUGCCGCGUGCAGGAAGAAGGCCUUCGGGUUGUAAACUGCUUUUGUACGGAACGAAACGGUCCUGAUUAAUACCUGGGGCUAAUGACGGUACCGUAAGAAUAAGCACCGGCUAACUACGUGCCAGCAGCCGCCGUAACAC
rnacentral:rRNA from 1 species